rnacentral:rRNA from 1 species
AGUGAACGCUGGCGGCAGGCCUAACACAUGCAAGUCGAACGGCAGCACAGUAAGAGUUGGCGCUUACGGGUGGCGAGUGGCGGACGGGUGAGGAAUACAUCGGAAUCUACUUUUUCGUGGGGGAUAACGUAGGGAAACUUACGCUAACACCGCAUACGACCUACGGGUGAAAGCAGGGGAUCUUCGGACCUUGCGCGAGUGAAUGAGCCGAUGUCGGAUUAGCUAGUUGGCGGGGUAAAGGCCCACCAAGGCGACGAUCCGUAGCUGGUCUGAGAGGAUGAUCAGCCACACUGGAACUGAGACACGGUCCAGACUCCUACGGGAGGCAGCAGUGGGGAAUAUUGGACAAUGGGCGCAAGCCUGAUGCAGCCAUGCCGCGUGGGUGAAGAAGGCCUUCGGGUUGUAAAGCCCUUUUGUUGGGGAAGAAAAGCAGCAGGUUAAUACCCCGCUGUUCUGACGGUACCCAAAGAAUAAGCACCGGCUAACUUCGUG